GCCUGGGUGGCUCAGUCGGUUCAGCGUCUGACUUCAGCUCAGGUCAUGAUCUCGCGGUCCGUGAGUUCGAGCCCCACGUCAGGCU
rnacentral:tRNA from 1 species